rnacentral:rRNA from 1 species
AGAGUUUGAUUAUGGCUCAGAUUGAACGCUGGCGGCAGGCCUAACACAUGCAAGUCGAGCGGUAGAGAGGUGCUUGCACCUCUUGAGAGCGGCGGACGGGUGAGUAAUGCCUAGGAAUCUGCCUGGUAGUGGGGGAUAACGCUCGGAAACGGACGCUAAUACCGCAUACGUCCUACGGGAGAAAGCAGGGGACCUUCGGGCCUUGCGCUAUCAGAUGAGCCUAGGUCGGAUUAGCUAGUUGGUGGGGUAAUGGCUCACCAAGGCGACGAUCCGUAACUGGUCUGAGAGGAUGAUCAGUCACACUGGAACUGAGACACGGUCCAGACUCCUACGGGAGGCAGCAGUGGGGAAUAUUGGACAAUGGGCGAAAGCCUGAUCCAGCCAUGCCGCGUGUGUGAAGAAGGUCUUCGGAUUGUAAAGCACUUUAAGUUGGGAGGAAGGGCAUUAACCUAAUACGUUAGUGUUUUGACGUUACCGACAGAAUAAGCACCGGCUAACUCUGUGCCAGCAGCCGCGGUAAUACAGAGGGUGCAAGCGUUAAUCGGAAUUACUGGGCGUAAAGCGCGCGUAGGUGGUUCGUUAAGUUGGAUGUGAAAUCCCCGGGCUCAACCUGGGAACUGCAUUCAAAACUGUCGAGCUAGAGUAUGGUAGAGGGUGGUGGAAUUUCCUGUGUAGCGGUGAAAUGCGUAGAUAUAGGAAGGAACACCAGUGGCGAAGGCGACCACCUGGACUGAUACUGACACUGAGGUGCGAAAGCGUGGGGAGCAAACAGGAUUAGAUACCCUGGUAGUCCACGCCGUAAACGAUGUCAACUAGCCGUUGGGAGCCUUGAGCUCUUAGUGGCGCAGCUAACGCAUUAAGUUGACCGCCUGGGGAGUACGGCCGCAAGGUUAAAACUCAAAUGAAUUGACGGGGGCCCGCACAAGCGGUGGAGCAUGUGGUUUAAU